GAGACAGUUCGGUCUCUAUCCGCUGUGGGCGUAAGAAAUUUGAAGGAAUCUGCUUCUAGUACGAGAGGACCGAAGUGGACAAACCUCUGGUUUACCAGUUGUAUCAUCAGAUGCAUUGCUGGGUAGCUACGUUUGGAAGGGAUAAGCGCUGAAAGCAUAUAAGCACGAAGCCCAUCCUAAGAUUAGAUUUCUCAUAUCGUAAGAUAAUAAGAAUCGUUGGAGAUGACGACGUUGAUAGGCUAUAGGUGUAAGUGCAGCAAUGCAUUCAGCCGAGUAGUACUAAUUUUUCGAAGGCUUUUCU
rnacentral:rRNA from 1 species